rnacentral:lncRNA from 1 species
GUGUGCGGGUAUUUAUACGUAUGUAUAUUGUUUGGAGAAAAAUGUGUCAAGCGAAUGCUGAAUUAAUUGGAACCCCGCAGGACAGCCUCUUGUUUCCAACUUCUUCUACCUCUCUGCACGCUCAAGUGAAUGAAUACAAUACCUACAGAUAUAUUCUUUUCCUGCGGCGCAGCUGCCGUGCUCGCCAAACGUUCGCAACUCUUCUUUCGUCUCGCAACAAAAUCUCCGAUGUUCGAGUGUAAAUCACCACAGAGGCGUUUGUCCGUAACAGUACUUCAGCGGGCUGAGAUUUCGCAACGGCACAGACAGAUCAUCGUGUACCGAAUCCUUCCCUAGUUCGCGCGUAAUCUAUUUCUAAAAUCUGAAUUUUAUUUAUUUUUACAUUUGCAGUAAAGACAUGCAACGCGUGCAAACUGCAACCGGUAUGCUAUGCAAGGUCUUGAAUUAGGUACGCGAGGUAUAAGAUUCCCGUAUCGAAAGGCUAAUGAUCUUGAGAUUUCUUCGAUCUCGCCUCCUGCGUAGUACGUAUAGCGCAUUCAGCGUGUACGAUGAUGCAGGCAAAAGGAUGUGCCGCUAGAGAUUGGUCAGCUGUCGGCUCUCGAUAGAACGAAGUCUGCCAAGAGCCGCAAGCUCACGUCACUCCUCAAUUUCCGCAUUAAAGUUGCAGAGUAAAACCGGUGUGUAAAAGGAUGUGAAGAGAAGAAAAAAAAAGGAAAAAAAAAAAAAACGUAGCUACUUUUACGUCGUCCGAAGCGGUACUUUCAAAGCUCUGUAUA